UACGUAGGGUCCGAGCGUUGUCCGGAUUUACUGGGCGUAAAGAGCGCGCAGGCGGUCGUUCAAGUCGAGUGUGAAAGCCCCCGGCUCAACUGGGGAGGGUCACUCGAUACUGAUCGACUCGAAGGCAGAAGAGGGAAGCGGAAUUCCCGGUGUAGUGGUGAAAUGCGUAGAUAUCGGGAGGAACACCGGUGGCGAAGGCGGCCCACUGGUCCGGUACUGACGCUGAGGUGCGAAAGCGUGGGGAGCAAACAGGAU
rnacentral:rRNA from 1 species